UACGUAGGGAGCAAGCGUUGUUCGGAUUUACUGGGCGUAAAGGGCGCGUAGGCGGCAAAUUAAGUCAGCUGUGAAAUCUCCGAGCUUAACUCGGAACUGUCAGCUGAUACUGAUCUGCUAGAGUGCGGAAGGGGCAAUCGGAAUUCUUGGUGUAGCGGUGAAAUGCGUAGAUAUCAGGAGGAACACCGAUGGCGAAGGCAGGUCUCUGGGCCACUACUGACGCUGAGAAGCGAAAGCAUGGGGAGCGAACAGG
rnacentral:rRNA from 1 species